AAAACUUUCAACAACGGAUCUCUUGGCUCUCGCAUCGAUGAAGAACGCAGCGAAAUGCGAUAAGUAAUGUGAAUUGCAGAAUUCAGUGAAUCAUCGAAUCUUUGAACGCACCUUGCGCCUUUUGGUAUUCCGAAAGGCAUGCCUGUUUGAGUGUCAUG
rnacentral:rRNA from 2 species